rnacentral:rRNA from 1 species
AACGAACGCUGGCGGCAUGCCUAACACAUGCAAGUCGAACGAGACCUUCGGGUCUAGUGGCGCACGGGUGCGUAACGCGUGGGAAUCUACCCUUGGGUUCGGGAUAACAGUUGGAAACGACUGCUAAUACCGGAUGAUGACUUCGGUCCAAAGAUUUAUCGCCCAAGGAUGAGCCCGCGUCGGAUUAGCUAGUUGGUGAGGUAAAAGCUCACCAAGGCGACGAUCCGUAGCUGGCUGAGAGGAUGAUCAGCCACACUGGGACUGAGACACGGCCCAGACUCCUACGGGAGGCAGCAGUGGGGAAUAUUGGACAAUGGGCGAAAGCCUGAUCCAGCCAUGCCGCGUGAGUGAUGAAGGCCCUAGGGUUGUAAAGCUCUUUUGUGCGGGGAAGAUAAUGACGGUACCGCAAGAAUAA